rnacentral:lncRNA from 1 species
AGUUCCCCGGCUGGAUGCGGUGACUGGUGCCAGUGCUCAGGCGCCCGCUGCCCUUGACCUCCCGCCCCGCGAGCCCUAACUCAGCGCAGGAGGACCGGCUGCCGCCGCCGCCGCCGCCAGGUAGACCAGGCCUGGCUGGGUUAGGCCAGAAGGGUGUCCCUGGCGCAGGUCUCCCGCGGAGGGCAGAACUAGAACCAGGUUCCCGGCCGUUUCCGACCACACGGAUGGGGCGGACCCAUGAGGUAGAUUGGGAAGUGGAGCUGGCCGUGGUCAUUGGAAAGAAAGGCAAGCACAUCAAGGUGAAGUGGAAAAGAUCCACACAACUUAAAGAUCUGCUGUCGAGUGAAUGGGGAAGUGGUCCAGAGCAGCAACACCAACCAGAUGGUAUUCAAGACAGAGGACCUGAUAGCCUGGGUGUCCCAGUUUGUUACCUUUUACCCAGGGGAUGUCAUCCUGACUGGGACCCCCCCACCUCCACCCAGGUGUCGGUGUAUUCAGGAAACCUCCUGUCUUUCUCAAGGUCUCUGAAGGUCCAGACAGCACUGAUGGCGAGCUUUGGGUCCGCACACUCUGGAAAGAAGAGAGAAGUGAAGGCUCUAGGUAGGGAGAACAGAGAGCCACUGGGCACAGGCUUCUCUCCUCUUGUUUAAAGAAGCCCAGGGAGGGAUAGAGCUCUGACUGGACAGAAGACUGUACUCUGCAGCCUGCCUUCCUAGAGUUGGGUUGUCACUGUCCUGCAGGGGGCAGCAGCCACCAGCAAACACCACUGCCUGCAGGAGCCUGGGCUGACUGGUUGGGACUCACCGAAGAUCCCUUCUUCCUGGGCGGUGGCCUGCAGGAACUGGAACAGCUGCUCUGUGUAGCCCAACUCUGCAGAAGAGAGAAGACCUAGACCUGGCACCCAGCACAGACACAGCCUGCCUCGAGGACUGCAAGGGAACAAGGGCCUCACCAGUAUCGGGCAGCUGGCCCUGGCGGAGGAAGGCGGCAGCCUGUGCAAAGGCCUUGAGCAGCGGGCUGAGCAGGCGGCAGAGGAAAAGAAAGAAAUCUGGGCAGUGUGACUGCUGGCUGAGCUGGAGGGGACAGGCCGGGGUGAGUGCAGCUCCCCACCGCCUCCCUACCACCUCCCUCCAGGGGCAGCUUUUUGAAACACACCCUGAAGUACCGGCCGUCAGCCUCUCCGAAGUCAUCACUGUCACUAUCAGUAAAGUCCCCACUCGGUUUCCACA